UCAGGAUGAACGCUGGCGGCGUGCCUAAUACAUGCAAGUCGAACGGAGCACUUCGGUGCUCAGUGGGCGAACGGGGUGAGGACAACAUAGGGUAACCCUGGCCCCUCCGAGGGGGACAACAGCUGGAAACGGCUGCUAAGACCGCAUAGACGUGCAGGAGGCAUCUCCUGCACGCUAAAUGGCCCUUCAAGGCCAGCGGAGGGAUGGACCUAUGCCGCAUUAGCUAGUUGGCGGGGCAGAGGCCCACCAAGGCGACGAUGCGUAGCCGGUCUGAGAGGACGGACGGCCACAUUGGGACUGAGACACGGCCCAAACUCCUACGGGAGGCAGCAGUAGGGAAUUUUCGGCAAUGGGGGAAACCCUGACCGAGCAACGCCGCGUGAACGACGAAGGCCUUCGGGUCGUAAAGUUCUGUUGUAAAGGAAGAACGUCGGGCAUAGGAAAUGAUGCGCGAGCGACGGUACCGAACAUAGAAAGCCACGGCUAACUACGUGCC
rnacentral:rRNA from 1 species